ACGCUAGCGGCAGGCCUAACACAUGCAAGUCGAGGGAGAGGUUACCUUCGGGUAACCAAGACUGGCGCACGGGUGCGUAACGCGUAUACAAUCUGCCUUUCACAUAGGGAUAGCCCGAAGAAAUUUGGAUUAAUACCUAAUGGUAUAUAAGAGCGGCAUCGUUUUUAUAUUAAAGCUACGGUGGUGAAAGAUGAGUAUGCGUUCUAUUAGCUAGUUGGAGAGGUAACGGCUCCCCAAGGCGACGAUAGAUAGGGGUUCUGAGAGGGAUGUCCCCCACACUGGUACUGAGAUACGGACCAGACUCCUACGGGAGGCAGCAGUGAGGAAUAUUGGACAAUGGUCGGAAGACUGAUCCAGCCAUGCCGCGUGCAGGAUGAAGGUCCUAUGGAUUGUAAACUGCUUUUGUAAGGGAAGAAUAAGGAGUACGUGUACUUUGAUGACGGUACCUUACGAAUAAGCAUCGGCUAACUCCGUGCCAGCAGCCGCGGUAAUACGGAGGAUGCGAGCGUUAUCCGGAAUCAUUGGGUUUAAAAGGUCCGUAGGCGGGCUGAUAAGUCAGAGGUGAAAGCGCUUAGCUCAACUAAGCAACUGCCUUUGAAACUGUCAGUCUUGAAUGAUUGUGAAGUAGUUGGAAUGUGUAGUGUAGCGGUGAAAUGCUUAGAUAUUACACAGAACACCGAUAGCGAAGGCAUAUUACUAACAAUUUAUUGACGCUGAUGGACGAAAGCGUGGGGAGCGAACAGGAUUAGAUACCCUGGUAGUCCACGCUGUAAACGAUGGAUACUAGCUGUUUGGAGCAAUCUGAGUGGCUAAGCGAAAGUGAUAAGUAUCCCACCUGGGGAGUACGCACGCAAGUGUGAAACUCAAAGGAAAUUGACGGGGGCCCGCACAAGCGGUGGAGCAUGUGGUUUUAAUUUCGA
rnacentral:rRNA from 1 species